rnacentral:rRNA from 1 species
AUACGGAGGAUGCGAGCGUUAUCCGGAUUUAUUGGGUUUAAAGGGUGCGUAGGCUGUUUGGUAAGUCAGGGGUGAAAUGCCGUCGCUCAACGACGGAGCUGCCCUUGAUACUGCCGAGCUGGAGUACGGAUGCCGUUGGAGGAAUGAGUGGUGUAGCGGUGAAAUGCAUAGAUAUCACUCAGAACACCGAUUGCGAAGGCAUCUGACGAAUCCGUCACUGACGCUGAGGCACGAAAGCGUGGGGAUAGAACAGGAUUAGAUACCCUGGUAUUCCACGCCGUAAACGAUGAUGACUAACCGUCGGCGAUAGACAGCCGGUGGCCAAGCGAAAGCGAUAAGUCAUCCACCUGGGGAGUACGUCGGCAACGAUGAAACUCAAAUGAAUUGGCGGGG